CUCACAAAUUCUUUUAAUCAUGCUGAGAUGCACGAACAUCCUCACCUUGAUUCACUUCCUCUGACUUCUAAUACAUUUUUCUCUCAUUUAUAGAUCUUCUCUAAGAUUGGAGUAGUACUAUGGUUUCAUCUAAUUGAUCAAUUGAAGUUUGGAGAGCUAGUAAUAGAUGGCCAACUUUCAUUUACCAAUGGGGAUUAUUAUUAAUACCUUCAACUACAUAUUCCCAAUGGAAAAAAAACCCAGAUGAACUUGGUUCAGCCAGAAGUAUGCCCAUCAACAGGACAUGAACUAGAUAACACGUCUAAGGUGGAGACAGAGGAACACCACUUUAUUACUGCCAGGCAGAUAUAGAAGUCCUGUUUCCCAACUCUGUUUCCAUCAGACCCAAAGGGAGGUGCUUGUUGCUGCUGGGAGGUUGCCCUUCUCCUGGACCCUGGCUUAGCCUUUAACUGGUGGUCUACUUUUGGCACUUCCUCCUGGGAGCUGGGGGACCGUGUCUGCUCACUGUCACCAUCAUUCUCUGUGCCGGCAGCCCGCAGCGCUUGCAUCUAGUACUCCAGCACAUAGCUGUCUGUGUAUGAAGCACUCCAGCUGCUCCAACUCCUGGAAGGCUGGAGCUGAUACUACAGAGGAAUUCCUCAUCCAUCCAGGUUAAUGACCUAGGUCAAGCUCCAGGUUCCUGUUUUAGCUGCUGGAUGCCCCAGAGAGCCACUUUCUGCCCCCAAGGUCCCUCCCUGCUGUCCUGUGGGCUUCCUUUUUACAAAUGAUUAGUCAAAGGAU